UAAUAUGUGAACUCCCCUCCUUUCUCCAGCCCCAGAGAGGCCACUCCGAUCAGGUUGCUAUGUUCCUUCCAGAUGUUUCUGGGCAUUUGUAAACAUGCAACACAUAAUUACAACUGACCAAGUCUCUCAGGAUCUUUCAGUUUCUGGAGAUGUGUGUUCCUUCAUGGGGCUCUCAGGGUCUGUUGAAGGAGACUCAAAAUCAGGGGGUAAGGGAUGUUGAGCUGAAAGCUGUAAGAUAAGAAUUAACCGAGUAAGAAAAUGGGAAUGUACCAAACAGAAGGCAGUAUAGGCGAAGGCCCCGGGACAGGAGGGAGCAAGGCACAGUACCUGAGAGAAACCAGUACAGCUGGAGUCCUGAGGUGAGGGCCAGAGGGGAGAGUUCAGUCUUGGGCUUUUAUUCAGGAAGCAAGGACUCAUUGGUGAGUCUGGGGAGGGAUGUUUUGUAUUUUAAAAGCUUCCUCUGGCUUCUGUAUGAAGGAUGGGUUGAAGAGGGGGCCGGAAUGGCAGAGGGGAGGGUGGACUUGGAAGCAGACCACAGCGAUCUGUUUAUGUUCAACAAACCCUUAGGUGGGCCAUGAGUCAGUGCCCAUUUAAAUCCCUUUAUAGUCGGAAUCCCCUUCGUAAUCCUAUGGCACAUCUAUUAUCCCCAUUUUGCAAAAAAGAUACAGACCCUCAGGUGUAGUCACCUGCAGGUUUUGCCCACAAGGUAUCACUCUGUAGUGCUCUCUGACUGUAGUACUCCCAAGCUGACAGGUCAUUUACUCAGCCAGUCCUUGGAAAUGACUUGUGUGUGGUUCCUCUGGGAGGCUCUGGUGGUGACACCACGGAGGGACUUGGUGUCGAGUAGCUUCCAUUGUGCGGCUCAUCCACUUACAGGCUGGAACUUGCUCCCCUUUUCCAGACAGGGAAACAGGUCCCCAAGAGGCUCUCGCAGGGGUCUUGCAGAGUGCGCAAGCUUUGACAAGCUGCCUCCAAAAGCUGGGCUUGGAGGUGCAUCGGAGGCCAGUCUGAACAGGGGGUGGAGCCUCGGGGGCGGGGACCUGAGCGUGCGCACGGCGCCAAUGGGCGGGCGGCCCCUUCAGUCCCCUCAAGUCCCUGGCGGCGGCGCCCAGAGUCCGGAUCUUCAUCCCAGCCAGAGUCGAGCGUGUGGCGACACCAUGACAUGCACGGGGCUGCUCACUGUGUGCUUGAUCCGGCCGCCCUCGCCCCGACCCCCUGUGCCGGUCGCUGGGCCCUCUGGACACGCGCUCUUCCAGGAUGUUUUCCGCAGAGCAGACAAGAAUGAUGAUGGUAAGCUUUCAUUUGAGGAAUUCCAGAAUUACUUUGCUGAUGGGGUCCUCAGCCCCAGGGAGCUGCAGGAGCUGUUCAGUGGCAUUGAUGGGCAUUCUACUGACAAUCUGGAAACAGAGAAACUGUGUGACUACUUCUCAGAACAUCUAGGUGUCUACCGGCCUGUGCUGGCUGCGCUGGAGUCGCUCAACCGUGCAGUGCUCACUGCCAUGGAUACCACUAAGCUGGAGUAUGAGCGGGCCUCCAAGGUGGACCAGUUUGUGACACGCUUCCUGUUGCGGGAGACAGUGAGCCAGCUACAAGCCCUGCAAAGCUCACUGGAGGGGGCAUCAGAUACCCUGGAGACCCAGGCCCGUGGCCCAAGGUCAUAUGAAGAGAGAACGGAGGUGCAGAGCAGGCCCUGUGGCAGCCGGCGGGCAGGGCGCAGGGCUUUGCGGAGCGUUAGUCGAUCACCCACCUGGUCUCCUGGUUCCUCUGACAUAGGGCGGAGCUCGGAGGCAGAGAUGCAGUGGCGGCUCCAGGUCAACCGUCUCCAGGAGCUAAUUGACCAGCUUGAAUGCAAGGCCCCCCGGCUGGAACCCCUACAUGAAGAGGUACUUACCAAGGGGCCCGACUCGCACAUCCUUGUGGCCCAGAGGCAGGUGCAAGUGGCAGAAGAAGCCUUGCAGGACUUCCAUCGUGCCCUGCGUUGCUACGUGGACUUCACAGGGGCCCAGACCCACUGCCUGCAUGUGUCUGCCCAGAAGAUGCUGGAUAAUGCCUCCUUCACCUUGUACGAGUUCUGGCAGGAUGAGGCCUCCUGGAGAAGAGGAGAAAACUGAGGCUCAGAGCCAGUAUGAGGAAGGACUGAUAUCUGAAUCCAGGCAGCAGGCCUUGGGUGGCAGUGGGGAGCUCUUAACCAAGUGAUCUUGAUCUUCGGAGGACUAGCUUGAGCCUCAGUCCAUUCCACGGCCUUCCCCAGGCACCAGCAGUCUGCCUGCAGUAAGGCCUUCCAGCGCAUCCUCAUCGACCACCUGCGGGCUCCAGACACCCUCACCACUGUGUUCUUCCCAGCCUCCUGGUGGAUUAUAAAUAAUAACUGAGCCUGACCUGCAUUAGCCAAGGACCCUGGGGCCCUGCCUGCUUCCUUCUGGAGUUUCUGGACUAGUCAAUUCAGCACCAAGACACAGGACCUGCUGCUCUUACACCUGGGGCCUGGCUGUCAGAGGCCUCCCAGACCAGCUGGUGGAGAGACUCUCAGCCCAGGAAUCAAGGACUGGGCUGCUUGCUUUCUGUUUCUUUAUCAGUAUGUUUUAUUGUUUGUAGCUUUGGUUUCUGAGGCCUCUGCCUGGCUCAGGAGGCCUGGAUUCUGGUUCCUUCUGCCCUUGCCUCGCUGUGACCCAGGGCAGAUUCCUAGCUUCUCUGGGUGGGCCUUGGGCUGUCUGGCUGCAUAGUGGGUGCCUUGCUUUCUUCCUGCUGUCUUGGGGCCAGGCUUCUGCUCUUCCUUAACCAGCAGCAGAACCAAGGCUGAUGCUCAGGGACCCCCUUCCUCAACCUCGACCCCUGAGGCUGGGCUGGAUCCAUCUGCGGUGUGAGAUAAGGACUUGGGUAUCCCUUUCACCCUCCUGAACUGGCAGGCUCCAGACUCUUCCUGCACUCUUGGCUGCACUGGAGACAUGUAGAAGAUCCUGGGUUGGUUUGCAUGUCAUUUGCAUAUCAUUUGCAUGUUCAUGCCCACCCAUACUCAGGACUCUAUGGGAACCCCAAGGUGAUCUUGCCAAGUACUAAUAAUUUGGGUCUAGAGUCACCUGCUGCCCCAGACACCUCUGAACCCCAGCACAGAGACAAUAAAGGCAGUGGUCUCCUCUG